UCCCCGGUAGCUCAGUGGUAGAGCACUCGACUGUUAAUCGAUCGGUCGCUGGUUCGAAUCCGGCCCGGGGAGCCA
rnacentral:tRNA from 15 species